rnacentral:rRNA from 1 species
GGGGAAUAUUGCACAAUGGGGGAAACCCUGAUGCAGCAACGCCGCGUGAGUGAUGACGGUCUUCGGAUUGUAAAGCUCUGUCUUCAGGGACGAUAAUGACGGUACCUAAGGAGGAAGCCACGGCUAACUACGUGCCAGCAGCCGCGGUAAUACGUAGGUGGCAAGCGUUGUCCGGAUUUACUGGGCGUAAAGGGAGCGUAGGUGGAUAUUUAAGUGGGAUGUGAAAUACCUGGGCUUAACUUGGGUGCUGCAUUCCAAACUGGGUGUCUAGAGUGUUGGAGAGGAAAGUGGAAUUCCUAGUGUAGCGGUGAAAUGCGUAGAGAUUAGGAAGAACACCAGUGGCGAAGGCGGCCUACUGGGCACCAACUGACGCUGAGGCUCGAAAGUAUGGGUAGCAAAC